rnacentral:tRNA from 1 species
AAAAAUUUAGUUAAUUUUAAUAACAUUAGUUUGUCAAACUAAAAUAAUUUCAUUUAGAAAUAAUUUUUA